AGCUUGUUGGUUGGUCUUAAUAACAGGUAUUUUCUGCCCGGUGUUCUUAGGAAUAAACGGCCGGGUACUCUGACCGUGCAAAGGUAGCAUAAUCACUUGUCCUUUAAUUGUGGGCUGGGAUGAAGGGAAGUAUCGUGGGCCCGGCUGUCUCUUUCCUAUUUUUUGAAUUUGCUGUCUGUGUGAAGAAGCAUUGUUGGUAAAAAGGGCGAGAAGACCCUAUUAAGCUUUACUUCUGUGGUUUGGUUUUAGUCUUUUACGUACUUAGGUCUGUUCUGCGGGGUUUGGUUGGGGUGACCGGAGAAGACGUGGAUCUCUCUUUUGUUCUUACUUUCUGUUGGGUCUGGAUCCAAGAUUUUUUGAUUCAAGGAAUUAGUUACUGUAGGGGUAACAGCGUAAUUUUUUCUUAAAGUUCUAUUGAAGGGAGAGGUUGCGACCUCGAUGUUGACUUGCUGUAUCCUCUUUCAGGUGUAGCAGCUGGGAGGGUUGGUCUGUUCGACCAUUAAAAUAGC
rnacentral:rRNA from 1 species